GGGUAGAGCCGGAUCUAAGUGUUGGCUAGGCAAGCAUCCUGUAGUAAGAGGAGUAGUUAUAAACCCUUCACCAUCCCCAUGGGGGUGGUGAAGGGAGGGUCCCAAUUGAUAGAAAAAAACCCACAAGCCCUUGGGGUUAUCCUGCGCUUGGAAGAA